rnacentral:lncRNA from 1 species
UAAAGCUGGUCAAACAAAAUUGAUAAUAUUCAUCUCAGUUAAGUUAGCUAUUUUAAUAAAGACAGAUGGAAAAAGGAGUCAUUAUUCAACACUUUAGUUAGCUUCACACACCACCUGUUACAACCAGAACAGAAGAGUCUCUCAAGGGAGACAUUCUCUCAUUCCUUCAAAACCCAGAGGUCUUCAUAUGCAAUGCUUUGGUGUCCUCAUUUCCCUCUAGCUGGGUUACACAGUUCACUGACAUUCAAACAUAAUGAAAGAAAACACUAAAAUUUGGGUACUAAAGCACAAGGAUUCCUGUGAAUGGGGAGAGAUUUCUGGAGAGUGUCACUUGUCAAUACUAAUCCCAACAUACUGACAGAAUGAAAAUACCAAUACCUAACUCCCUGGUAAAUAUGUACUUUCAGUAGAGAAAACAUAAGCUUGUCUUCUGCUGAUUGAGAAAAAGUAGUUAACAUUCUAAAGUGGAAAAAUUAUGGUUAUUAGAAACAAAAUUACCUGAAUUUGACUCCUGCACUAGCUAUGUAGCUUCAGUGAGUCACACAAUCUCUCUAAGCCUCAGUUUCCUUACCCUUACAAUAGAUGUACUAAUACUUAACUGGCAGGGUUGUUGAGAUAUUUAAUUUGAUUCAUCAAUGUAAAGAAUGUAGAAUGGUAGAUAUCCAAUAAUUGAUAGCUAUAAUUAUUAUUAAUAUUUUGGAAUCUUCUCACAGGCAUAUCUUUCUUUAAAAAUAACCAUUACAACUUGCAAUUUGAAAUGGAUAGAGAGACAUGUUACUCUGUUUCUAACUUUGUAUGUCUAGAUAACAUGAUCCUUCUGCCUGGAAUGAAAAUAAGAAAAGGAAGAAGAUCAGGAGGAGGAGGAGGAGGAGAAAGAAGAAGAAAGAAGAAGAUUAAGAUGGCUUCACUCCAGAAUAUUUUAUGUAAUGGAUAUUUAAGCACUUCAUCCAACCCCUUUAAGAGAGAGAAACAUCAUAAGGGCCUUCACGAAUGAAAGCAAUCAUUGAACGCAGACAAGAAUAGCUUUCCAUUUGCUGUGGAUAAAUUUAGCUAGAAGUUGCUGGAACUCCCAGUCCAUUAUGCUGAUAUUUACAGACUAAGAAAUAGGUUGAAAACAAACAAAUAAAACUGCACCUGUAUACA